UGAUGCAGCGACGCCGCGUGAGGGAUGACGGCCUUCGGGNUGUAAACCUCUUUCAGCAGGGACGAAGCGCAAGUGACGGUACCUGCAGAAGAAGCACCGGCUAACUACGUGCCAGCAGCCGCGGUAAUACGUAGGGUGCAAGCGUUGUCCGGAAUUACUGGGCGUAAAGAGUUCGUAGGCGGUUUGUCGCGUCGUUUGUGAAAACCAGCAGCUCAACUGCUGGCUUGCAGGCGAUACGGGCAGACUUGAGUACUGCAGGGGAGACUGGAAUUCCUGGUGUAGCGGUGAAAUGCGCAGAUAUCAGGAGGAACACCGGUGGCGAAGGCGGGUCUCUGGGCAGUAACUGACGCUGAGGAACGAAAGCGUGGGUAGCGAACAGGAUUAGAUACCCUGGUAGUCCACGCCGUAAACNGUGGGCGCUAGGUGUGGGUUCCUUCCACGGAAUCCGUGCCGUAGCUAACGCAUUAAGCGCCCCGCCUGGGGAGUACGGCCGCAAGGCUAAAACUCAAAUGA
rnacentral:rRNA from 1 species